GAUGAACGCUGGCGGCGUGCCUAAUACAUGCAAGUCGAGCGAACAGACGAGGCUCUUGCUUCUCUGACGCUACCGGCGGACGGGUGAGUAAUACGUGGCUAACCUAUCUAUAAGACUGGGAUCACUUCGGGAAACCGGAGAUCAUAUCGGUUAUUAUAUUGAACGGCAUGGUUCUUUAGAGAACGCCGGAUCUGCUGUGACUUAUAGAUGGUACCUAGCCGCAUUAGCUAGUUGGUAAGGUAACGGCUUACCAAGGCGACGAUGCGUAGCCGACCUGAGAGGAUGAUCAGCCACACUGGAACUGAGACACGGUCCAGACUCCUACGGGAGGCAGCAGUAGGGAAUCUUCCACAAUGGGCGAAAGCCUGACGCAGCAACGCCGCGUGAGUGAAGAAGGUCUUCGGAUCGUAAAGCUCUUUUAUUAGGGAAGAACAAAUGUGUAUUUAACUAUUCACGUCUUGACGGUACCUAAUCAGAAAGCCACGGCUAACUUCGUG
rnacentral:rRNA from 1 species